rnacentral:other from 1 species
GUUUGCCUGCUUGGUGCGUAGUGUGUCCUUUUGGACCCACAUCAUUUUAUCGGGAUGUUAGAUUUCCUGGCUGGAUUGCAGACCUCCCGCCUACGCUUUGACGAUAGGCGGAUGUUGGGAGCAGCUAAAGUCAGGAGCGGCAACCCACCUGCCAUAUCGUGCAGGUCAUAAUUGGAUGCAUUACGGCCAAAGCGGGUUUGGG